rnacentral:sRNA from 1 species
UCGAGCGUCAGCGAGAGAGCGUUGCCGCAGGCAACGACCCGAAGGGCGAAGCGCGCAGCGCUGAGUAAUCCUUCCCCCACCACCA